UACAGAGGUGGCAAGCGUUGUCCGGAUUUACUGGGCGUAAAGGAUGCGUAGGCGGACAUUUAAGUCAGAUGUGAAAUACCCGAGCUUAACUUGGGUGCUGCAUUUGAAACUGGGUGUCUAGAGUGCAGGAGAGGUAAGUGGAAUUCCUAGUGUAGCGGUGAAAUGCGUAGAGAUUAGGAAGAACACCAGUGGCGAAGGCGACUUACUGGACUGUAACUGACGCUGAGGCAUGAAAGCGUGGGGAGCAAACAGG
rnacentral:rRNA from 1 species